CGUAGGGUGCGAGCGUUGUCCGGAAUUACUGGGCGUAAAGAGCUCGUAGGUGGUUUGUCGCGUCGUCUGUGAAAUUCCGGGGCUUAACUUCGGGCGUGCAGGCGAUACGGGCAUAACUUGAGUGCUGUAGGGGAGACUGGAAUUCCUGGUGUAGCGGUGAAAUGCGCAGAUAUCAGGAGGAACACCGAUGGCGAAGGCAGGUCUCUGGGCAGUUACUGACGCUGAGGAGCGAAAGCAUGGGUAGCAAACAGGAUU
rnacentral:rRNA from 1 species